AGUGAACGCUGGCGGUAGGCCUAACACAUGCAAGUCGAACGGCAGCACAGUAAGAGCUUGCUCUUACGGGUGGCGAGUGGCGGACGGGUGAGGAAUACAUCGGAAUCUACUUUUUCGUGGGGGAUAACGUAGGGAAACUUACGCUAAUACCGCAUACGACCUACGGGUGAAAGCAGGGGAUCUUCGGACCUUGCGCGAUUGAAUGAGCCGAUGUCGGAUUAGCUAGUUGGCGGGGGAAAGGCCCACCAAGGCGACGAUCCGUAGCUGGUCUGAGAGGAUGAUCAGCCACACUGGAACUGAGACACGGUCCAGACUCCUACGGGAGGCAGCAGUGGGGAAUAUUGGACAAUGGGCGCAAGCCUGAUCCAGCCAUACCGCGUGGGUGAAGAAGGCCUUCGGUUUGUAAAGCCCUUUUGUUGGGAAAGAAAAGCAGCAGGUUAAUACCCCGCUGUUCUGACGGUACCCAAAGAAUAAGCACCGGCUAACUUCGUG
rnacentral:rRNA from 1 species